rnacentral:rRNA from 15 species
UUUAAAGAAAGCGUAACAGCUCACUGGUCUAAAUAAGGGUCUUUGCGCCGAAAAUGUAACGGGGCUAAAGCCAUGCACCGAAGCUGAGAAUGUGCACGCAAGUGUACGUGGUAGCGGAGCGUUCCGUAAGCCUGUGAAGGAGGACCCGUGAGGGCCUCUGGAGGUAUCGGAAGUGCGAAUGUUGACAUGAGUAACGAUAAAGGGGGUGAGAGACCCCCUCGCCGAAAGUCCAAGGGUUCCUGCUUAAAGCUAAUCUGAGCAGGGUAAGCCGACCCCUAAGGCGAGGCCGACAGGCGUAGCCGAUGGGAACCGGGUUAAUAUUCCCGGGCCAGGAGGAUGUGACGGAUCGCAGGUGUUGUUUGGCCUUAUCGGAUUGGCCGGGCAGCUGAGCGGUUCCUGGAAAUAGCCCUCCAUGAGAUCGUACCCUAAACCGACACAGGUGGACUGGUAGAGAAUACCAAGGCGCUUGAGAGAACGACGUCGAAGGAACUCGGCAAAAUGCCUCCGUAAGUUCGCGAGAAGGAGGCCCCAUCUGUGCGCAAGCACGGGUGGGCGGCACAAACUAGGGGGUGGCGACUGUUUACUUAAAACACAGGGCUGUGCGAAGCCGUAAGGCGACGUAUACAGUCUGACGCCUGCCCGGUGCUGGAAGGUUAAAGGGAGAGGUGCAAG